AUGGAGUGAUGGUAAUGAAGGUAUGUUCUGGUAUCAGCAGAAACCAGGACAGCCUCCAAAGCUCCUUAUAAAAUAUGUUAAAAAUCUUGAAUCAAGAACUCAAGCUCGGUUUAGUGGCAGUGGAAGCGGCUCUGAUUUCUCUUUGACCAUCAGAGGAGUUCAGGCUGAAGAUGCUGCAGUUUAUUACUGUCAGAGUCAUCAUUACUUAAACGGUGCUGAUGUGUUCACACAGUGAUUCAG